rnacentral:rRNA from 1 species
UACGUAGGGAGCAAGCGUUGUCCGGAAUCAUUGGGCGUAAAGCGCGCGUAGGUGGCCUCAUAAGUCCGUUGUGAAAGUCAAAGGCUCAACCUUUGAAAGCCGAUGGAUACUGUGAGACUAGAGUACGGAAGAGGCGAGUGGAAUUCCUGGUGUAGCGGUGGAAUGCGCAGAUAUCAGGAGGAACACCAAUAGCGAAGGCAGCUCGCUGGGACGUUACUGACACUGAGGCGCGACAGCGUGGGGAGCAAACAGG